CGGGGUGUAGCACAGGUGGUAGUGCAUAUGGUUCGGGACCAUAGGGCCGCAGGUUCAAGUCCUGUCACCCCGACCA
rnacentral:tRNA from 1 species